rnacentral:rRNA from 1 species
ACGGGAGGCAGCAGUAGGGAAUCUUCCACAAUGGGCGAAAGCCUGAUGGAGCAACGCCGCGUGAGUGAAGAAGGAUUUCGGUUCGUAAAACUCUGUUGUAAGGGAAGAACAAGUACAGUAGUAACUGGCUGUACCUUGACGGUACCUUAUUAGAAAGCCACGGCUAACUACGUGCCAGCAGCCGCGGUAAUACGUAGGUGGCAAGCGUUGUCCGGAAUUAUUGGGCGUAAAGCGCGCGCAGGUGGUUUCUUAAGUCUGAUGUGAAAGCCCACGGCUCAACCGUGGAGGGUCAUUGGAAACUGGGAGACUUGAGUGCAGAAGAGGAUAGUGGAAUUCCAAGUGUAGCGGUGAAAUGCGUAGAGAUUUGGAGGAACACCAGUGGCGAAGGCGACUAUCUGGUCUGUAACUGACACUGAGGCGCGAAAGCGUGGGGAGCAAACAGGAUUAGAUAUCCUGGUAGUCCACGCCGUAAACGAUGAGUGCUAAGUGUUAGGGGGUUUUCGCCCUUUAGUGCUGCAGCUAACGCAUUAAGCACUCCGCCUGGGGAGUACGGUCGCAAGACUGAAACUCAAAGGAAUUGAC